rnacentral:rRNA from 1 species
GAUGAACGCUGGCGGCGUGCCUAAUACAUGCAAGUCGAGCGAACAGACGAGGAGCUUGCUCCUCUGACGUUAGCGGCGGACGGGUGAGUAACACGUGGAUAACCUACCUAUAAGACUGGGAUAACUUCGGGAAACCGGAGCUAAUACCGGAUAACAUGUUGAACCGCAUGGUUCAACAGUGAAAGUCGGUUUUGCUGUCACUUAUAGAUGGAUCCGCGCCGCAUUAGCUAGUUGGUAAGAUAACGGCUUACCAAGGCAACGAUGCGUAGCCGACCUGAGAGGGUGAUCGGCCACACUGGAACUGAGACACGGUCCAGACUCCUACGGGAGGCAGCAGUAGGGAAUCUUCCGCAAUGGGCGAAAGCCUGACGGAGCAACGCCGCGUGAGUGAAGAAGGUCUUCGGAUCGUAAAACUCUGUUAUUAGGGAAGAACAAAUGUGUAAGUAACUAUGCACGUCUUGACGGUACCUAAUCAGAAAGCCACGGCUAACUACGUG